AACGAACGCUGGCGGCAGGCUUAACACAUGCAAGUCGAACGCAUCCUUCGGGGUGAGUGGCAGACGGGUGAGUAACGCGUGGGAACGUGCCCUUCAGUUCGGGAUAACCCAGGGAAACUUGGGCUAAUACCGGAUACGUGCGAGAGCAGAAAGAUUUAUCGCUGAAGGAUCGGCCCGCGUCUGAUUAGCUAGUUGGUGGGGUAAUGGCCCACCAAGGCGACGAUCAGUAGCUGGUCUGAGGGGAUAAUCCGCCACCUUGGGACUGAGACACGGCCCGAUCUACUGCGGGGGGAAGCAGUGGUGAAUAUUCGACAAAGGGCGCAAGCCUGAACCAGCCAUGCCGCUUGAGUGAUGAAGGCCUUAGGGUUGUAAACUUCUUUCGUCCGGGACGAUAAUGACGGUACCGUAAGAAGAAGCCCCGGCUAACUUCGUGCCAGCCGCCGCAGUAA
rnacentral:rRNA from 1 species